CCCCUCCCUCGCGGCUGAAGGCUUUAAAACCCCUUCAGUCACUUACCUGAAUCCAGUGCCGAUGUCCCUCGGCGCUGGGUCAAGCUCUGCCCACGCUCCUCCUCUGUUGUCAGGGGGAGACCUAAUUCUCAUGAGCGUCAAUGGCCGCUCUUGCAUUAGGAUUUCCCCAUAGAAAAGCAUUACUCAAUGCUUUCCUAUGGGGAGGGGAAAUCUGACACUUGUGGUCCUCAUGCAUAGGGAGAG